AACGAACGCUGGCGGCAGGCUUAACACAUGCAAGUCGAACGCCCCGCAAGGGGAGUGGCAGACGGGUGAGUAACGCGUGGGAAUCUACCCAUCCCUACGGAACAACUCAGGGAAACUGGAGCUAAUACCGUAUACGACCUACGGGGGACAGAUUUAUCGGGGAUGGAUGAGCCCGCGUUGGAUUAGCUAGUUGGUGGGGUAAAGGCCUACCAAGGCGCCGAUCCAUAGCUGGUCUGAGAGGAUGAUCAGCCACAUUGCGACUGAGACAGGGCACAAGCUCCUACGGGAGGCGGCAGUGGGGAAUAUUGGACAAUGGGCGCAAGCCUGAUCCAGCCAUGCCGCGUGAGUGAUGAAGGUCUUAGGAUUGUAAAGCUCUUUCACCGAUGAAGAUAAUGUCGGUAGUCGGAGAAUAAGCCCCGGCUAACUUCGUGCCAGCCGCCGCCGUAA
rnacentral:rRNA from 1 species